rnacentral:rRNA from 1 species
ACGGGUGAGUAAUGCCUAGGAAUCUGCCUGGUAGUGGGGGAUAACGUUCGGAAACGGACGCUAAUACCGCAUACGUCCUACGGGAGAAAGCAGGGGACCUUCGGGCCUUGCGCUAUCAGAUGAGCCUAGGUCGGAUUAGCUAGUUGGUGAGGUAAUGGCUCACCAAGGCGACGAUCCGUAACUGGUCUGAGAGGAUGAUCAGUCACACUGGAACUGAGACACGGUCCAGACUCCUACGGGAGGCAGCAGUGGGGAAUAUUGGACAAUGGGCGAAAGCCUGAUCCAGCCAUGCCGCGUGUGUGAAGAAGGUCUUCGGAUUGUAAAGCACUUUAAGUUGGGAGGAAGGGCAGUUACCUAAUACGUGAUUGUUUUGACGUUACCGACAGAAUAAGCACCGGCUAACUCUGUGCCAGCAGCCGCGGUAAUACAGAGGGUGCAAGCGUUAAUCGGAAUUACUGGGCGUAAAGCGCGCGUAGGUGGUUUGUUAAGUUGGAUGUGAAAUCCCCGGGCUCAACCUGGGAACUGCAUUCAAAACUGACUGACUAGAGUAUGGUAGAGGGUGGUGGAAUUUCCUGU